ACUUGGACCACAAUUGUACAGGCGAGUUCAUAUCCCCGCUGAUUCAUUUGAUAUUUCUAUUCAGGCAGCCGAAGGAGGCUUUGGAGAGGGAGGAAGCAACCUUAAGCCACCUGUGUUUUAUUAAAAUGAGUGCAUUACAAAUUGUAUAAAUUAAAAACUUGAUCGCAGCUGUGACUGUCAGACAUGAGAGACGAUUCAAGACAAAGGGUUCCAAUGCCCGCGGAGAUACGCCGUACCCGACCGCUAGGGGGCAGCACUGCUGCCAUUUGUGGUAGUGACACAAACUACCAUCUUCAGAGAUUGCUCCACAGGAUGAACCAAAAACAGAGACAUGAUUUCUAGACACUGAAGAGUUAAAUGGAAGUUAAAGUACUUUCACUGCUUCAUCCUUGCAGUGGAAGAAAAGGUGUUCUUUCUGGCAGGUGCCACUCUGAAGUGAGGAAGAGAGAUACACAUUGAGACAGCUCCACCCAACAACAGACCAACAAGCUCAUAACCUCAUGUUAACUUACUGUGUGUAUAUAUACUACAUGGAUUUGGGGCAGACAUUAGACCUCAUAAUACAGUAUAUUUUUAUCCACAGAUGUCAUGGGGAAAGCUAGAUUCCAAGUGCAGAUAUAUGUAAUGUGCUGUGCCAUUUAGACUCACUGAGACCAAUUCACCUCACCAUUGCACCAUUGCAGCCCUUACCGUAUUCCUUGGAUAUUGAAGUCUCUCAGACUGGCAUUCUCAGGAGCACAGCUAGAAUGCUCUGAAUUCCAGCUAUUUCUGGCUGCUGCAAUGGCCUCUUGGGGCCAUGGACUGCCAGAUGUAAGCUAGGGUGGCACCUCAAGUUGCUCUAACAUAUGCCUGAGUGAGGCCAAAACAGCCUCAGUCCAGAAUAAGGGAGACACAGACAUGGAAUAAAGGCACUUUUGCCUCUUCCCACUACCACUUAGUUCUGUGCCAAACUCAGUUCUAGCACAGAGAAUAAUUAGUUCCUUUAUAUGCCAUAAUUUCUGGUGGCCAAAUGUCUGUGUAAACAUGUGACAACAUAAUUACAGACGGAUAACAAAAUAUGUGCAUACUUGCAAAAGAUCUCUGAUCUAUGCUGACUGAUGAUAACUUUAGUGCAACACAUGGUCAGUAAAACUCCAAUUGACAUCCAGGAAGACAGAAUAAGAAUUUCAGUAGGUGUUUUGUCUGAACAAGAACUGUGGGUUCACAGUUUCAGCCUAUCACUAUACUAAUUCUUCAUGUUUGUGUGAAUACAUUUUUAUUUAAACAUGAAAACAGUAUCACGCACAGUAUUUUUGUCCAGAAGUGUUGCUUAUAUGUUCAAGUUUUUUUUAUUAAUAUAAAUAUCUGAUGCAUUUCAUAGUUUAUUCACUUUUGUGCCAUGUGUUAGAGCUCUCCACACUGGAGAGAAGGUUCUUAUUAACACAGGACUUAACUCUGCAAGCAAUCUGCUCAGAGAAUUGGGCCCAUAAAUAGCAGUCUCCAU